rnacentral:rRNA from 1 species
AUACAUAUACCCUGAACGUGCCCAAUCUCAUCUGAUCUCAGAAGCUAAGCAGGGUCGGGCCUGGUUAGUACUUGGAUGGGAUACAUAAUAAUUAUACAUAUUUAUGGGGUUCAUGUGAUAUU